ACUGGGGUCAUGGAAUCUACAUAAACAUGGAGCUGAAUCCUGUCUCUUGGCUUCUUCCUCAGGUGUCCUUUUAUGUUGCAUAAGGAGAUUUGGUCCUCAUACACAGAUCCAGUACUUCUGCUCAGUCAGCAAAUAUUCUGCCCUGGUGCAGCCUUUCUUCAGGAUUCAAAUGGCCUCCUGCUCCACAGCAAAUUUCACAUUCAAGGGACUGUAAGCCUUGUCCUUUAUAAUCCAGUUAAGAAAUGUUGGGGUUUACCCAGAGCAACCUGGAAGACAGUCACCUCAUGUUCCAGGAAACACAGGGCCCGGGCAGCUCCUCUCUGGUCCUGCACAACAGGCCAUGGUCCCAGAAGGGAAGGAUGCAUUGAAGAAGUGAACCAGUGACUCUGAUGCUGGUGUCACUUAAAAGACUUUGGAUUCCUUGACCACAGCAUGCACUUCAAGGGGAGAGGACUCCUGGGAAGGGAUGGCAUCCACCUCACAAGGAAAGAACUAAAGAUCCCAUUCCUGGGUUCUGCUGUGUGGAUUAUUGUACAGCUAUAAACUGAUGUCUGUCCUUCAGGUACUGUAUUCAUAUCACCUCACUUGCCUUAUUAUUGAGAUUCUAGAUUUUUCCU